rnacentral:tRNA from 1 species
UGGAUAGAGCGCCGCGCUUCGGACGCGGAGGUUCGAGGUCCGAGUCCUCGUAGGGACG